rnacentral:rRNA from 1 species
UUCCUACGGGAGGCAGCAGUGGGGAAUAUUGCACAAUGGGCGCAAGCCUGAUGCAGCGACGCCGCGUGCGGGAUGACGGCCUUCGGGUUGUAAACCGCUUUCAGCUCUGACGAAGCUUUUGUGACGGUAGGAGCAGAAGAAGCACCGGCUAACUACGUGCCAGCAGCCGCGGUAAUACGUAGGGUGCGAGCGUUGUCCGGAAUUAUUGGGCGUAAAGAGCUUGUAGGCGGCUUGUCGCGUCUGCUGUGAAAGCCCGGGGCUUAACCCCGGGUCUGCAGUGGGUACGGGCAGGCUAGAGUGUGGUAGGGGAGACUGGAAUUCCUGGUGUAGCGGUGGAAUGCGCAGAUAUCAGGAGGAACACCGAUGGCGAAGGCAGGUCUCUGGGCCAUUACUGACGCUGAGAAGCGAAAGCGUGGGGAGCGAACAGGAUUAGAUACCCUGGUAGUCCACGCCGUAAACGUUGGGCGCUAGGUGUGGGUCCCAUUCCACGGGGUCCGUGCCGCAGCUAACGCAUUAAGCGCCCCGCCUGGGGAGUACGGCCGCAAGGCUAAAACUCAAAGGAAUUGACGGGGGCCCGCACAAGCGGCGGAGCAUGCGGAUUAAUUCGAUGCAACGCGAAGAACCUUACCAAGGCUUGACAUACACCGGACGACUGCAGAGAUGUGGUUUCCCUUUGUGGCUGGUGUACAGGUGGUGCAUGGCUGUCGUCAGCUC